AGCCAAAUCGAUCCUGCAGGUUGUGCUCACCACGGUGAAAGUCAUUAUUUGCAACUCCCACAGGAGAACCAUAUCCAUUCAGCUCACUUUGGACCACCUGUGGAGCCUGAUAACCAGGGAACAGAGAAUCUGUUGAGAUCCAAAUUUGUGUGCCAGAUCACAAACUCAUCAGAAGCAGAUGCCACGUGUUAUACUGUUAUGUAUCUCUCAGAGACUCCAGCACUUUGAAACCUCUAGCAGGUUCUUCAGGACGUAUUCCAGAAGAAGGCAUUGUUAUCAUAGGAGAUGACGGUUCCAUGCGUGUUAUUGCCCCUGAAGACCUUCCAGUGGGUCAAGAUAUGGAGGUGAAAGACAGUGAUGUUGAUGAUCCUGACCCUGCGUAGGCCAAGUUUGCUUGACUUCACUUAAUCUGCUGGAAGCUGAUCCUUUUCAUGUCCAUGUUUAAGGAAGUGUUGAAGGUCACAUCACUCAAAGCCAACAUCAGCAGGCAUCCUACCAAGAUAAUCUGU